rnacentral:rRNA from 1 species
CCUACGGGAGGCAGCAGUGGGGAAUAUUGCACAAUGGGGGAAACCCUGAUGCAGCGACGCCGCGUGAGUGAAGAAGUAUUUCGGUAUGUAAAGCUCUAUCAGCAGGGAAGAAAAUGACGGUAACUGAUUAAGAAGCCCCGGCUAACUACGGGCCAGCAGCCGCGGGAAUACGUAGGGGGCAAGCGUUAGACGGAUUUACUGGGUGUAAAGGGAGCGGUUACGGCAGCACAAGUCUGGAGGGAAAUGCCGGGGCUUAACCCCGGAACUGCGUUGGAAAAUGUGCAGCUAGAGUGCAGGAGAGGUAAGUGGAAUUCCUAGUGUAGCGGUGAAAUGCGUAGAUAUUAGGAGGAACACCAGUGGCGAAGGCGGCUUACUGGACUGUAACUGACGUUGAGGCUCGAAAGCGUGGGGAGCAAACAGGAUUAGAUACCCCGGUAGUC